rnacentral:rRNA from 2 species
AUGAUUCAGCGGCGGACGGGUGAGUAAUGCCUAGGAAUCUGCCUGGUAGUGGGGGACAACGUUUCGAAAGGAACGCUAAUACCGCAUACGUCCUACGGGAGAAAGUGGGGGAUCUUCGGACCUCACGCUAUCAGAUGAGCCUAGGUCGGAUUAGCUAGUUGGUGAGGUAAAGGCUCACCAAGGCGACGAUCCGUAACUGGUCUGAGAGGAUGAUCAGUCACACUGGAACUGAGACACGGUCCAGACUCCUACGGGAGGCAGCAGUGGGGAAUAUUGGACAAUGGGCGAAAGCCUGAUCCAGCCAUGCCGCGUGUGUGAAGAAGGUCUUCGGAUUGUAAAGCACUUUAAGUUGGGAGGAAGGGCAGUAAGUUAAUACCUUGCUGUUUUGACGUUACCAACAGAAUAAGCACCGGCUAACUUCGUGCCAGCAGCCGCGGUAAUACGAAGGGUGCAAGCGUUAAUCGGAAUUACUGGGCGUAAAGCGCGCGUAGGUGGUUCGUUAAGUUGGAUGUGAAAGCCCCGGGCUCAACCUGGGAACUGCAUCCAAAACUGGCGAGCUA